rnacentral:rRNA from 1 species
CCCUUAGAUGUUCUGGGCCGCACGCGUGCUACACUGAGUGGAUCAGCGGGUCAGGUUGCGCGAAAGUGUUUCCUAAUCUUUAAAUCCGCUCGUGAUGGGGAUUGACGGUUGCAAUUUUCCGUCAUGAACGAGGAAUACCUUGUAAGCGCGGGUCAUCAUCCCGCGCUGAAUACGUCCCUGCCCUUUGUACACACCGCCCGUCGCUCCUACCGAUUGAGUGGUCCGGUGAGGCUUUGGGAUCUGAGCGGAAAGAGCGUUUCGCUGUUUCUGCCCGGAAAACUCAGUCGAACCUUAUCAUUUAGAGGAAGGAGAAGUCGUAGCA